rnacentral:rRNA from 1 species
UGAGGAAUAUUGGACAAUGGGGGAAACCCUGAUCCAGCGAUGCCGCGUGAAUGAAGAAGGUCUUCGGAUUGUAAAGUUCUUUCGGCGGAGAAGAUGAUGACGGUAUCCGCAGAAGAAGUUCCGGCAAACUCCGUGCCAGCAGCCGCGGUAAGACGGAGGGAGCAAGCGUUGUUCGGAAUAACUGGGCGUAAAGGGCGCGUAGGCGGUGACUUAAGUGAGGCGUUAAAGACCUGGGCUCAACCUGGGGGUUGCGUUUGAUACUGAGUGACUGGAGUACGGGAGAGGAAAGCGGAAUUCCUAGUGUAGAGGUAAAAUUCGUAGAUAUUAGGAGGAACACCGGAGGCGAAGGCGGCUUUCUGGACCGAUACUGACGCUGAGGCGCGAAAGCGUGGGGAGCAAA